GGGGGGAUAUUAAUUUCCCCACCUAACUCCCCCCCCUCAUUUUGCAAAUACUAAGUAUUUUUCUCCAGUGGUUAAUUACUCCAAUAGUGAUCAAUAUUUUAAAAAAUGUGAUAAAUGGUUAGAAAUAGAAAGGUCAAUGUCAAAGCUCACUAGACUUUACUUGAUUUGUGCAGUGUGUGCAUGUGACCUAGGGUUUUUGUUACAAACAUUGAUAAGUUUUAUUUUUUAUUUAAUGAGCAAUAUUUAGCAUGACUUUAAUUACAAUGUACCGGUAAUGUAUGAAAACAUGGUAUUGCUGGUAAUUGUAUUAUGUGUUAUACAGCUUAUAUAUAAAUACUUAUUUCAU